ensembl:lncRNA HCG24 HLA complex group 24
GCAACUGAUAGAGGAUCUUCUUACAUUUGCUUUAUUUCAUGGUGCUGCCCAAAUUCAUGCUGUACCCUCAGCAGCAAGGAGUGGGACCAUUACUCCUGGCGUUCCCAGAUGGAACAGACACCAAGCCUGGCUUUGCCACUGAACACAAUACAGGACUGAUAAAGGAAAUAGAGGCUGCCCAUCUCUCAGUGCCACAUAUGAGAAAGGGAAGUUGUCAUUUUAUAUAUCCACUGUCAAGCAUCUUGGUAAAACAGAAGAAAGCAGGCUGGGCCUGGUGGCUCAUGCCUAUAAUCGCAGCACUUUGGGAGGCCAAGGAGGGCAGAUAGCUUGACCAGCAUGGGCAACAUGGCAAAAUCCUGUCUCUACAAAAAAAUAAAAAAAAACAAAAAAUAAAUGUAGUCCCAGGUACUGAGGAAGCUGAGGCAGGAGGAACACUUGAGCCUGGGAGGUAAAGGCUUCAGUGAGCCGUGAUAAUGCCACUGCACUCCAGCCUAGACAACAGAGUGAGACCCUGUCUCAAGAAAAAGAAAAACAAGAGGGAGGCAAUCUACUUUAUACCCAGAGAAUUUUACAUGCAAGGAAUUUGACUAUGAAUAAGCCUCCAUUGCUUAAGAGAGACUUCACUAUUUGGGAUUUUAAGAAAGAAAUACACAAACAAGCAAAUCUCAUCAGCAGAGGACUGAGAAACCAGUGUUUAUAAUACCCAGUGAUUAAUGU